rnacentral:rRNA from 1 species
UACGUAGGGUGCGAGCGUUGUCCGGAAUUAUUGGGCGUAAAGAGCUUGUAGGCGGUCUGUCGCGUCUGCUGUGAAAAUCCGGGGCUCAACCCCGGACUUGCAGUGGGUACGGGCAGACUAGAGUGUGGUAGGGGAGACUGGAAUUCCUGGUGUAGCGGUGAAAUGCGCAGAUAUCAGGAGGAACACCGAUGGCGAAGGCAGGUCUCUGGGCCACUACUGACGCUGAGGCGCGCAAGCGUGGGGAGCAAACAGG